UACGUAGGGGGCGAGCGUUGUCCGGAAUCAUUGGGCGUAAAGCGCGUGUAGGCGGUCCGGUAAGUCGGUUGUGAAAGCCCCGGGCUCAACCUGGGAACGGCGCUUGAUACUGCGUUGCUUGAGGACGGGAGAGGAUGGUGGAAUUCCCAGUGUAGAGGUGAAAUUCGUAGAUAUUGGGAAGAACACCAGUGGCGAAGGCGGCUCACUGGCCCGUAACUGACGCUGAGGUGCGAAAGCGUGGGGAGCAAACAGG
rnacentral:rRNA from 1 species